rnacentral:rRNA from 1 species
AUACGUAGGGGGCGAGCGUUGUCCGGAAUGAUUGGGCGUAAAGGGCGCGUAGGCGGCCCGGUAAGUCUGGAGUGAAAGUCCUGUUUUUAAGAUGGGAAUUGCUUUGGAUACUGUCGGGCUUGAGUGCAGGAGAGGUAAGUGGAAUUCCCAGGGUAGCGGUGAGAUGCUGAGAGAUUGGGAGGAACACCAGUGGCGAAGGCGACUUACUGGACUGUAACUGACGCUGAGGCGCGAAAGUGUGGGGAGCAAACAGGAUUAGAUCCCCUGGUAGUCCACACUGUAAACGAUGAAUGCUAGGUGUAGGGGGUAUCGACCCCUUCUGUGCCGCAGUCAACACAAUAAGCAUUCCGCCUGGGGAGUACGGCCGCAAGGUUGAAACUCAAAGGAAUUGACGGGG